rnacentral:rRNA from 1 species
GACAGAGGAUGCAAGCGUUAUCCGGAAUGAUUGGGCGUAAAGCGUCUGUAGGUGGCUUUUUAAGUCCGCCGUCAAAUCCCAGGGCUCAACCCUGGACAGGCGGUGGAAACUACCAAGCUGGAGUACGGUAGGGGCAGAGGGAAUUUCCGGUGGAGCGGUGAAAUGCGCAGAUAUCAGGAGGAACACCGAUGGCGAAGGCAGGUCUCUGGGCCGUAACUGACGCUGAGAAGCGAAAGCAUGGGGAGCGAACAGG